AGCGAACGCUGGCGGCAGGCUUAACACAUGCAAGUCGAGCGGGCACUUCGGUGUCAGCGGCAGACGGGUGAGUAACACGUGGGAACGUACCCUUCGGUUCGGAAUAACGCUGGGAAACUAGCGCUAAUACCGGAGACGCCCUUUUGGGGAAAGGUUUACUGCCGAAGGAUCGGCCCGCGUCUGAUUAGCUAGUUGGUGGGGUAAUGGCCUACCAAGGCGACGAUCAGUAGCUGGUCUGAGAGGAUGAUCAGCCACACUGGGACUGAGACACGGCCCAGACUCCUACGGGAGGCAGCAGUGGGGAAUAUUGGACAAUGGGCGCAAGCCUGAUCCAGCCAUGCCGCGUGAGUGAUGAAGGCCUUAGGGUUGUAAAGCUCUUUUGUCCGGGACGAUAAUGACGGUACCGGAAGAAUAAGCCCCGGCUAACUUCGUG
rnacentral:rRNA from 1 species